rnacentral:rRNA from 1 species
CUCGUAGGCGGUUCGUCGCGUCCGGUGUGAAAGUCCAUCGCUUAACGGUGGAUCCGCGCCGGGUACGGGCGGGCUUGAGUGCGGUAGGGGAGACUGGAAUUCCCGGUGUAACGGUGGAAUGUGUAGAUAUCGGGAAGAACACCAAUGGCGAAGGCAGUCUCUGGGCCGUCACUGACGCUGAGGAGCGAAAGCGUGGGGAGCGAACA